GGAGGGGGCGAGCGUUAUUCGGAAUUAUUGGGCGUAAAGGGCAGGUAGGCGGCUCUGUAUGUCCUCUGUGAAAGCCCUCGGCUCAACCGAGGAAUUGCAGGGGAAACUGCGGAGCUUGAGUCCGGGAGAGGCUAGUGGAAUUCCCAGUGUAGCGGUGAAAUGCGUAGAUAUUGGGAGGAACACCAGUGGCGAAGGCGGCUAGCUGGACCGGUACUGACGCUGAGCUGCGAAAGCCAGGGGAGCAAACGGGGGAUUAGAUACCCCGGUAGUCCUGGCUGUAAACGUUGAGCACUUGGUGUGGCGGGUAUCGACCCCCCCUGCCCGUGCCGAAGCUAACGCAUUAAGUGCUCCGCCUGGGGAGUACGGUCGCAAGGCUG
rnacentral:rRNA from 1 species